UGCCUAGGAAUCUGCCUGGUAGUGGGGGAUAACGUUCGGAAACGGACGCUAAUACCGCAUACGUCCUACGGGAGAAAGCAGGGGACCUUCGGGCCUUGCGCUAUCAGAUGAGCCUAGGUCGGAUUAGCUAGUUGGUGGGGUAAUGGCUCACCAAGGCGACGAUCCGUAACUGGUCUGAGAGGAUGAUCAGUCACACUGGAACUGAGACACGGUCCAGACUCCUACGGGAGGCAGCAGUGGGGAAUAUUGGACAAUGGGCGAAAGCCUGAUGCAGCAACACCGUGUGAGCGAUGAAGGCCC
rnacentral:rRNA from 1 species